rnacentral:rRNA from 1 species
AACGCGAAGAACCUUACCUGGGCUCGAAAUGGAGUGGACCGGAGUAGAAAUAUUCCUUCCCCGCAAGGGGCUGCUCUAUAGGUGCUGCAUGGCUGUCGUCAGCUCGUGUCGUGAGAUGUUGGGUUAAGUCCCGCAACGAGCGCAACCCUUGUCCUAUGUUGCCAGCGGGUAAUGCCGGGGACUCGUAGGAGACUGCCGGGGUCAACUCGGAGGAAGGUGGGGACGACGUCAAGUCAUCAUGCCCCUUACGUCCAGGGCUGCACACAUGCUACAAUGGCCGGUACAGAAGGCUGCUAUCCCGCGAGGGUGAGCGAAUCCCAAAAAGCCGGUCUCAGUUCGGAUUGCAGUCUGCAACUCGACUGCAUGAAGUCGGAGUCGCUAGUAAUCCCGGAUCAGCAACGCCGGGGUGAAUACGUUCCCGGGCCUUGUACACACCGCGCAUA